GCCAGGAAAUGGUAUGGGCACACGGUGCUCCCAGGGGGCUGUAACUGACUGUGUAGCCUGCCUUUCCUCCUGUGGGAAGCUCUCUUGAGAGCACUUCAGGAUGCAAGACAUCGGGCAACCAAGCAGCUGUGCUUCACAGUUGGACCACACCAAGCUUCUGCCUAUGCAGCCAUAAUUGAUGUUAUAAUCAGGAAAAGCAUUACAGGGAGGGGACAGCAAAUUUCCCGUGAAAAGGAGAUGGCUGGGUUGCUGACACAGGCUACAUCAUUGCAGAACCCUGAGAGCAGGGAAGAUGCAGACAGAAUGAAUGUGCAAGCUGAGGCAAUAUGGAGCAGUACCAGCCAUUCUGCAUCGAGAAAGACUGAGACCCAGCCCCUUGGAGCAUCUGAGUGAGCUACAGAGAAAGAGCAACUGCGUUCUCAAACUUAGAGAGCAUCCAGACCCAAGCCAGAGCCUCUCUCUCUGCCUCUGUGUAAAUCUGCUUGCAGCCCAAACCCUUGGAGACAGAUCAGGUGGAUCAAACCAGU